CAUUACACUGUACACGGAGUUCAUCUUUACUUCUCGGUUCUCUCUUUUCUCAACAUCUCAAUUAUAAUAUUUUCAAAGACAAAUUUUACCUUCUAUGUCCAAUAUGAUAGACGGUGUAGCCUACAAAUAUGCAUCUAUUUUAGCAAAGGGGCGUUUUAUUUGGAUUAUAGGGUCUGAGAAAUGAAAAUAAAGUGUAAAAAGACCUUUAAGAAUGUGUAGAAAGGGCAGUCUGUUAAUAAAACUGCAGUGAAAAAGGCAUGGUCCUUAAACUGAAAGGGAGCUGUGGCUGAGCCAGGAAUACGAGACCUGUUUCUACUAUAUGCAUGUGUUCAUUUCUUCUUGACUCAUUAAAGAUGAGUCGAACAAUAGAGUCUUUGUACAAUUUCCAAAAUGGACAGAAAAGACAUAAAACUCCCCCAUCUGAAUUUGUUUGAAGGCUGAAGUUUAGUGUUAAACUACAAUUCAACUGUAGACUUAAACUAGCAAAAUAAUGGAAGUGUGUUAGAUUUUUGUUUUGAAAUAUAAGUUUGCAUUUGAAAAACGAUAGUAGCCACUAGAUGCUGCUCCUCAUAAAUCAGCAUUACCCAUUUCUAGAGGAACAACUAGACUGUAGUUGAAGCAAUAGAACUUGAAACUCUUAUUCUCUUAAAAACUAGACUAGUUAGUUUUCAUACUGAAGAAAAAAAAAACUUGAUACCAAGAAUGAUUAAUUUUCCGCAUAUGUUAACUGGAGAGCUUGAAAGCAAAAUUAGUUAAUUAUAUUAUGCAUUGAGCUUUGUACAGUUUAAAAUACAUUCAGCAAGAUGUUGCAUGAUUCUCUCCCACUUUUUGUAUGUGCUAAGUGUCUUUCAUUUUGUUUUUGUGCUUUUAAUGUGUAUUAUAUAGAUGUAUUUAUAAUGGAUGGAUUAUUUUUGAACGUUGAUAGGAAAUUAGGCCCGUAGCUGGAUUUUGCGUGAGAAUCAUCUUGAAUGAAGUAACUCUCAAUUCUGAUAUGACCCCGUGACAGUCAAUCAAUAUUUCGAGAGAUGCAUUUGAUUCAUGUUUUGGUGUAGCAGUGUCCCCUGGAAAUCUUGUCAUUGCUACUGUUCAUUGCUUUGAUAUUGAGAA